UCCAGACUCCUACGGGAGGCAGCAGUGGGGGAUAUUGCACAAUGGGGGGAACCCUGAUGCAGCGACGCCGCGUGGGUGAAGGAGCGUUUCGGCGCGUAAAGCCCUAUCGGCAGGGAAGAAGGAGGACGGUACCUGACUAAGAAGCCCCGGCUAACUACGUGCCAGCAGCCGCGGUAAUACGUAGGGGGCAAGCGUUAUCCGGAUUUACUGGGUGUAAAGGGGGCGCAGACGGCAGCGCAAGCCAGGAGUGAAAGCCCGGGGCCGAACCCCGGGACUGCUCUUGGAACUGCGCGGCUGGAGUGCAGGAGGGGCAGGCGGAAUUCCUGGUGUAGCGGUGAAAUGCGUAGAUAUCAGGAGGAACACCGGUGGCGAAGGCGGCCUGCUGGACUGCGACUGACGUUGAGGCCCGAAAGCGUGGGGAGCAAACAGGAUUAGAUACCCGGAUAAU
rnacentral:rRNA from 1 species